rnacentral:rRNA from 1 species
GACGAACGCUGGCGGCGUGCUUAACACAUGCAAGUCGAACGGAAAGGCCUGCUUUCCCUUGUGGAUUGCGGGUACUCGAGUGGCGAACGGGUGAGUAACACGUGAGUGAUCUGCCCCCAACUUGGGUAUAAGCCUGGGAAACUGGGUCUAAUUCCCGAUAGGACUGCAGGGUGGUGCCUGUGGUGGAAAACGAUUUUCUAGUGGUUGGGGAUGAGCUCGCGGCCUAUCAGCUUGUUGGUGGGGUAAUGGCCUACCAAGGCGGCGACGGGUAGCCGGCCUGAGAGGGUGGACGGCCACAUUGGGACUGAGAUACGGCCCAGACUCCUACGGGAGGCAGCAGUGGGGAAUAUUACACAAUGGGCGGAAGCCUGAUGCAGCGACGCCGCGUGGGGGAUGACGGCCUUCGGGUUGUAAACUCCUUUCGGCCGCGAGGAAGCCACCUGGUUGGAAGGGUGGUGACGGUAGUGGUAGAAGAAGCACCGGCUAACUACGUG